GCCUGGGUGGUUUAGUCGGUUAAGUGUCUGACUUCAGCUCAGGUCAUGAUCUCAUGGUUCGUGGGUUUGAGCCCCGCGUCGGGCU
rfam:Felis catus isolate Cinnamon breed Abyssinian chromosome A1, whole genome shotgun sequence.